UGGACCAUAGCUCAGCUGGGAGAGCACCUGCCUUACAUGCAGGGGGUCACAGGGUCGAGCACUGUUGGUCCCACCA
rnacentral:tRNA from 1 species